rnacentral:rRNA from 1 species
UGGGGAAUAGUUGCACAAUGGGCGAAAGGCCUGAUGCAGCAACGCCGCGUGAGCGAUGAAGGCCUUCGGGUCGUAAAGCUCUGUCCUCAAGGAAGAUAAUGACGGUACUUGAGGAGGAAGCCCCGGCUAACUACGUGCC